GAUGAACGCUGGCGGCGUGCUUAACACAUGCAAGUCGAACGGAAAGGCUCCUGCUUGCAGGGGUACUCGAGUGGCGAACGGGUGAGUAACACGUGGGUGAUCUGCCCUGCACUUCGGGAUAAGCCUGGGAAACUGGGUCUAAUACCGGAUAGGACGAUGGUUUGGAUGCCAUUGUGGAAAGUUUUUUCGGUGUGGGAUGAGCUCGCGGCCUAUCAGCUUGUUGGUGGGGUAAUGGCCUACCAAGGCGUCGACGGGUAGCCGGCCUGAGAGGGUGUACGGCCACAUUGGGACUGAGAUACGGCCCAGACUCCUACGGGAGGCAGCAGUGGGGAAUAUUGCACAAUGGGCGCAAGCCUGAUGCAGCGACGCCGCGUGGGGGAUGACGGCCUUCGGGUUGUAAACUCCUUUCGCUAGGGACGAAGCGCAAGGGACGGUACCUGGAGAAGAAGCACCGGCUAACUACGG
rnacentral:rRNA from 1 species